GACAUAAUUUAAAGUCUAUGUUACGGCCAUAGAAUGGAUACUUGCGUAUCUUAUGUUU
rnacentral:tRNA from 1 species